GGUUGUCGUACAAAUAUGUACAAAGAUGGCAAAAAAUGAUUGGUUGUGGGAAAAGAGUGAGAUCCCCAACAGAAAUUGAACAAGCAAUAUAUGAUCCUUAACCACUUCUCUUCUUUCAUUUGAAAAAAAAAUCCAUUUAAUAUGUAGUAAUAUAUCAUAUAAAGUGUAUGUAUUUGGAGCGCACGUAAGGACGUAGAGCGGAUGGUAGGGUAAAAUGGGGAUGCAUGGCUUGCAGUUGUAGAUCGAUGAAAUUAUGAAAGUGAGAUAUACAAAUAAGACAGCAAAACAAAAGUGGGUCACUUAGAAAAGAUCCCAACGUAGAGAGCAUAAUAUUAGAUGUCUCUUCUUUG
rnacentral:lncRNA from 1 species